ensembl:lncRNA
UGCUCUGCUGCGUGCCUCGCGAAGGAUCUGCAGGUGUGUGUGUGUCAAGUCGGUCGCAUAUCUGGAUCUGUGUAACUUUUUACCUGGACCAGAGGAGUCAGAACCAUUUGUCUUUUGGACACAGCAGCCUAUGUUUGCAAUGAAACCCAAUGGAACGGGCAGAAUAGAGGGAAAUCAACAAAAAGGCGCCCGUAUGCCGGACAUACAACGCGGCACGGUGAAAAAAAAAAAAAGUAACACACAGCAGUGAGAAAGACAAAGAGACAGAGGAGGGAAAGAGAAGAGGAGAGAAGAAGGAGACAAUUAACGACAGGGAGACUACGGCUGGAUGGUGUCAACGGUGGCGGUUCAUGAAACGCACGGACAGACGUUAAGGACAACAGAGACACUCACUGCGUCGGCCUCGGCCUUCUCCCGCGAGGCUCGCGCCCCGGCCACCACGGACUCCAUCACGGCCACCCAGCGCUGUUUGUCGGGGAAACUGGGAGCCAUGAAGUAAAUCAGCUGUCCGGGCCAGCAGGGGGUGUGACAGCGGGACUCCAGCUUCAGGACGUAGGGAACAUCUGACGGACAGGUAUCACAGGUGAGGGCCAGCGUUGAGUCACUGAGGAGCCGUAAAACCAGCAUGUAUGUGUUUGUUUUUUAGACAAACGGCGUCUCUCAUGUAGGCGCCGACCCCGCACUCACCCUCGGGCGUCGCAG